ensembl:misc_RNA Metazoa_SRP Metazoan signal recognition particle RNA
ACUGUUAGCAGCAUAAGAUUGAGGAGUUGGAAGAGACCUUUAGAACAGCUGGUCAUUAUGCCGACCGGGUGCCUGCACUAAGUUCGGCAUCAAUAUGGUGACCUCCUGGGAGCAGGGGGCCACCAAGUCGCCUAAGGAUGGCUGAACUGGCCCAGGUCAGAAAGGGAGCAGGUCAGAACUCCCGCACCGACUCGUAGUGGAACUGUGCCUGGGCGGUAUAGUAAGAUCUUGGUUCUUAAAAAUAAAGAACAGCAGCUCAUUCCU